rnacentral:tRNA from 2 species
AAAAAGGUAAGCUAAGCUUAAGCUAUUGGGCUCAUACCCCAAGUAUAAAGAUUUUCUUUUCUUUUUU